rnacentral:piRNA from 1 species
UGCCCUGAGGGGUUAGCCACUGGACUCCAUUC